UACGUAGGGGGCAAGCGUUGUCCGGAUUUAUUGGGCGUAAAGAGCGUGUAGGCGGCCGUACAGGUCAGCUGUGAAAACUCGAGGCUCAACCUCGAGACGUCGAUGGAAACCAUCUGGCUAGAGUCCGGAAGAGGAGAGUGGAAUUCCUGGUGUAGCGGUGAAAUGCGCAGAUAUCAGGAAGAACACCCGUGGCGAAGGCGGCUCUCUGGGACGUGACUGACGCUGAGACGCGAAAGCGUGGGGAGCAAACAGG
rnacentral:rRNA from 1 species